rnacentral:rRNA from 1 species
AUUGAACGCUGGCGGCAGGCCUAACACAUGCAAGUCGAACGGUAGCACAGAGAGCUUGCUCUCGGGUGACGAGUGGCGGACGGGUGAGUAAUGUCUGGGAAACUGCCCGAUGGAGGGGGAUAACUACUGGAAACGGUAGCUAAUACCGCAUAACGUCGCAAGACCAAAGUGGGGGACCUUCGGGCCUCCCACCAUCGGAUGUGCCCAGAUGGGAUUAGCUAGUAGGUGGGGUAAUGGCUCACCCAGGCGACGAUCCCUAGCUGGUCUGAGAGGAUGACCAGCCACACUGGAACUGAGACACGGUCCAGACUCCUACGGGAGGCAGCAGUGGGGAAUAUUGCACAAUGGGCGCAAGCCUGAUGCAGCCAUGCCGCGUGUAUGAAGAAGGCCUUCGGGUUGUAAAGUACUUUCAGCGGGGAGGAAGGCGGUGAAGUUAAUAACUUCACCGAUUGACGUUACCCGCAGAAGAAGCACCGGCUAACUCCGUGCCAGCCGCCGCCGUAA